rnacentral:rRNA from 1 species
GAUGAACGCUGGCGGCGUGCUUAACACAUGCAAGUCGAACGGAAAGGCCGUAGCUUGCUUCGGUACUCGAGUGGCGAACGGGUGAGUAACACGUGGGUGAUCUGCUCUGUACUUCGGGAUAAGAUUGGGAAACUGGGUCUAAUACCGGAUAUGACGCUCUCUUGGAUGGGGUUGUGGAAAGCUUUUGCGGUAUGGGAUGAGCUCGCGGCCUAUCAGCUUGUUGGUGGGGUAAUGGCCUACCAAGGCGUCGACGGGUAGCCGGCCUGAGAGAGUGUACGGCCGCAUUGGAACUGUGAGACGGCCCAGACUCCUACGUGAGGCAGCAGUGGGGAAUAUUUCACAAUGGGCGCAAGCCUGAGGCAGCGAGGCCGCGUGGGGGAUGACGGCCUUCGUGUGGUAAACACCUUUCGCAAUCGACGAAGCCUUUUGGUGACGGUAGGUUGAGAAGAAGCACCGGCUAACUACGUG